rnacentral:rRNA from 1 species
UUGGAGGGCAAGUCUGGUGCCAGCAGCCGCGGUAAUUCCAGCUCCAAUAGCGUAUAUUAAAGUUGUUGCAGUUAAAAAGCUCGUAGUUGAAUUUCGGGAUUCAUCCGUUGGUCGGGCUUCACGGUCCGUACUGGUGUGAUGGGUUCCUACCUUCUGAAUAACCGGCAUGCCAUUAAUUUGGUGCGCCGGGGAAGCAGAACUAUUACCUUGAAAAAAUUAGAGUGCUUAAAGCAGGCAAGUGCCUGAAUAGGUUAGCAUGGAAUAAUAAAAUAGGACGGCAUGGUUCUAUUUUGUUGGUUUCUAGGAUCACCGUAAUGAUUAAUAGGGAUAGUUGGGGGCAUUAGUAUUCAAUUGUCAGAGGUGAAAUUCUUGGAUUUAUUGAAGACUAACUACUGCGAAAGCAUUUGCCAAGGAUGUUUUCAUUAAUCAAGAACGAAAGUUAGGGGAUCGAAGACGAUCAGAUACCGUCGUAGUCUUAACCAUAAACUAUGCCGACUAGGGAUCGGAUGAUGUUAAUUUUUUAAUGACUCAUUCGGCGCCUUACGGGAAAC